CGACAAGUUUUCUUUACUAUCAUUUAUUUGAAGGAUUUGUUUUGGCCGUCGUCGUCGUGUUGCCGUCCUACAUGCUUAAGCUCCCUAAUAAAACAUAACCGUCACGACACGCUUUUAGCCUGUCGCAACUGUCGUCGAGAUCGAACUCGAGUCUAUCUCGACGACACUGUUGUCUGUUGUGAACUAUACAUGUUGCCAGCGUGUCGCGACAAGAUUUUUCUUCAUGUUUCCAUUUGGUCGCGAACACUACUCUGACGACACUUACACAACACGUGGAUAUCUGGCUUUAUAGACGUAGGAAAAUAUGAACUUGAAACAUUGUUGUAUUUAGAGCUGUAAGUUAGGAGUUUGAGUCAGGGGCGUAGGAAACUCAUUGUGGGGCCGGGCGACCGAAGUGCCAAAGAAAUCACCCAACUAGCGGGUUUUAUAUAAGGUUUUGCUCUCCCGGGCCUGUCCAUGGAGGAAACUUUGAAAUCUAGACCCUCUGCAAUGGCAUUUUCAUGCAGCCAUUUUUGCGUGCUGUUUAGCGAAGCGGCAGACGGACAAAAAACUAUAAUACUGGAUUGCACUUAAUUUUGCAAUUUUACAACAUUCUUUACUCCAAAAUGCAACAGAAAACGUAAUUGCAUUUCAGUAUUGAAUAGCAUGAUGUUAUAAUGAAGUGACUAUCGACUGUUUCAAAUACUUCAAAUAUAUACUAACGGUAAAUUCAAACACUUUUUGGCAGCCAAACCUAUUCCUCCCCCCCCCCAAACAACACCCCCCCCCCCCCCCCAACAAGGGACGGGGCUAGGUCACCAUCCCCGCGAUAAAUCCAAACAUUUCAGUUUUAGCAGGCAAAAAUCUAUUACAUCCCCCCAGCCCCAAUGUGUUUAACAAGGGGCGUGGUUAUCCACAAUCCCCGCGCUUCCUAUGCGCCUGGUUUGAGUGAAACGAUUAAAAGGAAAUACAGUAUGAACUGAAAACAUGGUUCUAUUUAGAGUUGUAAGUUAGAAGUUUGAGUUCUUGGAUCCUGUAGGAAAAUUUUUUUUCCCAAGAAACUACAAUUGA